UUUGGUAGUUGUUUGGUAGUUGUUUGGUAGUUGUUUGGUAGUUGUGAGGUAGUUGUUUGGUAGUUGUUUGGUAGUUGUGAGGUAGUUGUGAGGUAGUUGUGAGGUAGUUGUGAGGUAGUUGUUUGGUAGUUGUUUGGUAGUUGUUUGGUAGUUGUGAGGUAGUUGUGAGGUAGAUGUGAGGUAGUUGUGAGGUAGUUGUGAGGUAGUUGUGAGGUAGU